rnacentral:rRNA from 1 species
GAUGAGCGCUGACAGAAUGCUUAACACAUGCAAGUCUACUUGAUCCUUCGGGUGAUGGUGGCGGACGGGUGAGUAACGCGUAAAGAACUUGCCCUGCAGUCUGGGACAACAUUUGGAAACGAAUGCUAAUACCGGAUAUUAUGCGAGAUUCGCAUGUUUCUCGUAUGAAAGCUAUAUGCGCUGCAGGAGAGCUUUGCGUCCUAUUAGCUAGUUGGUGAGGUAACGGCUCACCAAGGCGAUGAUAGGUAGCCGGCCUGAGAGGGUGAACGGCCACAAGGGGACUGAGACACGGCCCUUACUCCUACGGGAGGCAGCAGUGGGGAAUAUUGGACAAUGGACCAAAAGUCUGAUCCAGCAAUUCUGUGUGCACGAUGAAGUUUUUCGGAAUGUAAAGUGCUUUCAGUUGGGACGAAGUAAGUGACGGUACCAACAGAAGAAGCGACGGCUAAAUACGUGCCAGCAGCCGCGGUAAUACGUAUGUCGCAAGCGUUAUCCGGAUUUAUUGGGCGUAAAGCGCGUCUAGGCGGUUUGGUAAGUCUGAUGUGAAAAUGCGGGGCUCAACUCCGUAUUGCGUUGGAAACUGUCAAACUAGAGUACUGGAGAGGUGGGCGGAACUACAAGUGUAGAGGUGAAAUUCGUAGAUAUUUGUAGGAAUGCCGAUGGGGAAGCCAGCCCACUGGACAGAUACUGACGCUAAAGCGCGAAAGCGUGGGGUAGCAAACAGGAUUAGAUACCCUGGUAGUCCACGCCGUAAACGAUGAUUACUAGGUGUUGGGGGUCGAACCUCAGCGCCCAAGCUAACGCGAUAAGUAAUCCGCCUGGGGAGUACGUACGCAAGUAUGAAACUCAAAGGAAAUUGACGGGGACCCGCACAAGCGGUGGAGCAUGUGGUUUAAUUCGACGCAACGCGAGGAACCUUACCAGCGUUUGGACAUCCUAGGAAGUUGGCAGAGAUGCCUUCGUGCCCCUUCGGGGGAACCUAGUGACAGGUGGUGCAUGGCUGUCGUCAGCUCGUGUCGUGAGAUGUUGGGUUAAGUCCCGCAACGAGCGCAACCCCUUUCGUAUGUUGCCAUCAUUAAGUUGGGAACUCAUGCGAUACUGCCUGCGAUGAGCAGGAGGAAGGUGGGGAUGACGUCAAGUCAUCAUGCCCCUUAUACGCUGGGCUACACACGUGCUACAAUGGGUAGUACAGAGAGUCGCUAACCUGCGAGGGGGAGCUAAUCUCAGAAAACUAUUCUCAGUUCGGAUUGUACUCUGCAACUCGAGUACAUGAAGUUGGAAUCGCUAGUAAUCGCAAAUCAGCUAUGUUGCGGUGAAUACGUUCUCGGGUCU